GCGCAGCAGUCGCGAAUCUUCGGCAAUGGGGGAAACCCUGACCGAGCGACGCCGCGUGUGGGAUGAAGGCCCUUGGGUUGUAAACCACUGUCAGAGGGGAUGAAAUGCCGGAAAGUUAUCUCUCCGGUUUGACAUAGCCUCAGAGGAAGCACGGGCUAAGUUCGUGCCAGCAGCCGCGGUAAGACGAACUGUGCAAACGUUAUUCGGAAUCACUGGGCUUGAAGAGUGCGUAGGCGGUUUCGUAAGUAGGGUGUGAAAGCCCCCGGCUCAACCGGGGAAUUGCGUCCUAAACUGCGAGGCUGGAGUGAGGUAGGGGUGUGUGGAACUUCCAGUGGAGCGGUGAAAUGUGUUGAUAUUGGAAGGAACGCCGGUGGCGAAAGCGACACACUGGACCUUGUCUGACGCUGAGGCACGAAAGCCAGGGGAGCAAACGGGAUUAGAUACCCCCGUAGU
rnacentral:rRNA from 1 species